GUGAGGAGCCAAUUAUCGUGAAAAGUUUCAUGAUUUAUUAUAGGAGUGCAGAGUCUUUUCUUCCUUUAACCCCUCAGUGACAGAAGAAUUUGUUUUCAGACUAAGAAGAAACAUCUAUAACAUAUUCUGUAUAAUAAAGUAGGGCGGACAGGACCUUCCAUCUUUUUGGCUAGGUCAGAUUCCUGGAAAUAUCUGUAGAAUAAGAAUAAGUAACACUGCAGUGAAGGAAAAACGACACUUUCUCAGGAUAUUCUAAAGCUGUAGGAGGUGGAUCACAGACUUUAUAUUGUUAUUAUUUAUUUUCUAUAACUUAAAUAUCAUAUUACUGCGUCUAUAUGAGGCAGGAAGCAGAUGGGCCCCCCAGGGUAAAGCGACCAAAGGGAAGAGAUUGGACCCUGCACAGACCACAUAUUUCUCGUCCCAAAGUCAGGAGACCCUCCCUGGCUGCAUAUGCACAAAAGAGGCUCCUUUGCUGUUCUACCCAGAUGCCUUUUCGGUGGAAUUCAUCUUGGCUAAGAUGCGUGCACACGCGGGAAGAUCCUGAGAUAUACAGAAUAUGGACUGUGAGCCCAGGCAAGUCAAAAUGAGCAGCCAGAGGAAAUCUGGAAGAAAUGCCCCACAUAAGUGAUUUAAACUGCCACCAGGGCGCAACUCGGGGCCUCUGUCUCUGAGUCUGCCCAUGUGUCUAUCCAUACGUACUGUACUUUUCCUC
ensembl:lncRNA